rnacentral:lncRNA from 1 species
CUGACCUAACCCCACAGUGCCUGCUUUAAUCCCGUAUGGGUGCGGCUGUCCCCUAAACACCAGAGAAAUAACAUAUGAAACCAGAUAAAGCUCAGGGUCUUCAGCUCUUGCAGGCCUGGGCAGCUAAGGAAAAGGAAUUUGGAGACCUAAAGUACUUUUUCUUCAGAAGCAUAGCACUCUGUGUGACCUUGAUAGCUACAAGUGGAGAUGGAUCUUUGAGCUAUCAGAUGGAAGGCUGUCUCUGCAGACCCACACUGGAUUCUACAUAAAUAAGAAGUAUAAGUGUAACUUCGUUGUGCUAAGUCACUGAGCUUUUCGGAUUUGUUUGUUAUUGCAGCAUAGCUUAACAUUGCUCUGACUAAUGCCAUAUACAAACCUUAAACAUGUGCAAGGGUUUAUUUCUUCAUCUGCCCACACCCAAGAAUUGCUUUCCUAAAAACUUAAAAUGUAUAUAAAUUAUAUGUGUUUAUUAUGGAAAAUUAUGAAAUACAAAUAAACAGAAAAGAAGAAAGUAAAAAUCAUCUAUAAUCCUCUUGGUCAGAGUUAUCUACUGUUAACAUUUUCAUGUCUACACAUCAUGUUUUUUCUAUGUAUAUAGAAAUAUAAAUUUAUGUAUAUAUGCACAUAAACUUAUAUGUGUGUUUACAUAUUAUUGUAGAACCUACUUUUUUUUGAGAGAGGAAGAGAGCGUCUCUCUCUGUCACCCAGGCUGGAGUGUAAUAGAGUGAGCACAGCUCACUGCAGCUUCGACUGUCUGGUCUCAAGCAAUCUUCCCGCCUCAGCCUCUUGAGUAGCUGAGAUAGCUGAGACUACAGGCAUGCACCACCAUACCCGGCUAAUUUUUGUAUUUUUUGUAGAGAUGGGGUCUUGCCAUGUUGCCAAGGCAACUUCUGGGCUCAAGCUGUCCGCCCGCCUCGGCCUCCCAGAGUGCUGGGAUUACAGGCGUGAGCCACUGCGCCUGGCCACAACCUACUUUUUUAUUUGACAAAAUAUUCUGUUAAUUUUCUCAAAGCAAUAAAUACUAUUCUAGAACUCAAUUUUUUUAAUUUUUUUUUCUGAGACAGAGUCUUGCUCUGUCGGCCAGGCUAGAGUGCAGUGGUGCGAUUUCACUGUAACCUCCCCCUCCCGGGUUCAAGCAAUUCUCCUGCCUCAGCCUCCUGAGUAGGUAGGAUUACAGGCUUAUGCCACACAUGCCAGGCUAAUUUUUGUAUUUUUAGUAGAGACAGGGUUUCACCAUGUUGGCCGGGCUGGUCUAGAACUCCUGACCUCAUGAUCCACCCGCCUCAGCCUCCCAACAUGCUGGGAUUACAGGUGUGAGCCACCGCGCCCAGCCUAGAA